GUGGGGAAUUUUGGACAAUGGGGGCAACCCUGAUCCAGCAAUGCCGCGUGCAGGAAGAAGGCCUUCGGGUUGUAAACUGCUUUUGUACGGAACGAAACGGUCUGGGUUAAUACCCUGGGCUAAUGACGGUACCGUAAGAAUAAGCACCGGCUAACUACGUGCCAGCAGCCGCGGUAAUACGUAGGGUGCGAGCGUUAAUCGGAAUUACUGGGCGUAAAGCGUGCGCAGGCGGUUUUGUAAGACAGGCGUGAAAUCCCCGGGCUCAACCUGGGAAUGGCGCUUGUGACUGCAAAGCUGGAGUGCGGCAGAGGGGGAUGGAAUUCCGCGUGUAGCAGUGAAAUGCGUAGAUAUGCGGAGGAACACCGAUGGCGAAGGCAAUCCCCUGGGCCUGCACUGACGCUCAUGCACGAAAGCGUGGGGAGCAAACAGGAUUAGAAACCCUGGUAGUCC
rnacentral:rRNA from 1 species